AGUUGGUAAGGUAAAGGUUUCCCAAGGCAAUGAUGCAUACCCGACUUAAAAGGUUAUCGCCCCCAUGGGACUGAAACCCCGCCCAUACUUCUUCCGGGAGGCAGCAGUAGGGAAUCUUUCCACAAUGGGCGAAAGCCUGAUGGAGCAACCCCGCGUGAGUGAUGAAGGUUUUCGGCUCGUAAAACUCUGUUGUAAGAGAAGAAUGACAUUGAGAGUAACUGUUCAAUGUGUGACGGUAUCUUACCAGAAAGGAACGGCUAAAUACGUGCCAGCAGCCGCGGUAAUACGUAUGUUCCAAGCGUUAUCCGGAUUUAUUGGGCGUAAAGCGAGCGCAGACGGUUAUUUAAGUCUGAAGUGAAAGCCCUCAGCUCAACUGAGGAAUUGCUUUGGAAACUGGAUGACUUGAGUGCAGUAGAGGAGAGUGGAACUCCAUGUGUAGCGGUGAAAUGCGUAGAUAUAUGGAAGAACACCAGUGGCGAAGGCGGCUCUCUGGUCUGUAACUGACGUUGAGGCUCGAAAGUGUGGGUAGCAAACAGGAUUAGAUACCCUGGUAGUCCACACCGUAAACGAUGAGUGCUAGGUGUUUGAGGGUUUCCGCCCUUAAGUGCCGCAGCUAACGCAUUAAGCACUCCGCCUGGGGAGUACGACCGCAAGGUUGAAACUCAAAGGAAUUGACGGGGACCCGCACAAGCGGUGGAGCAUGUGGUUUAAUUCGAAGCAACGCGAAGAACCUUACCAGGUCUUGACAUCCCUUGACAACUCCAGAGAUGGAGCGUUCCCUUCGGGGACAAGGUGACAGGUGGUGCAUGGUUGUCGUCAGCUCGUGUCGUGAGAUGUUGGGUUAAGUCCCGCAACGAGCGCAACCCUUAUUACUAGUUGCCAGCAUUCAGUUGGGCACUCUAGUGAGACUGCCGGUGACAAACCGGAGGAAGGUGGGGAUGACGUCAAAUCAUCAUGCCCCUUAUGACCUGGGCUACACACGUGCUACAAUGGCGUAUACAACGAGUUGCCAACCCGCGAGGGUGAGCUAAUCUCUUAAAGUUCGUCUCAGUUCGGAUUGUAGGCUGCAACUCGCCUACAUGAAGUCGGAAUCGCUAGUAAUCGCGGAUCAGCACGCCGCGGUGAAUACGUUCCCGGGUCUUGUACACACCGCCCGUCACACCAUGAGAGUUUGUAACACCCAAAGCUCGGUGGGGUAACCUUCGGGAGCCAGCCGUCUAAGGUGACCC
rnacentral:rRNA from 1 species